UAGGGAAUCUUCGGCAAUGGGGGGAACCCUGACCGAGCAACGCCGCGUGAGUGAAGAAGGUUUUCGGAUCGUAAAGCUCUGUUGUUAAGGAAGAACGAGUGUGAGAAUGGAAAGUUCAUGCUGUGACGGUACUUAACCAGAAAGGGACGGCUAACUACGUGCCAGCAGCCGCGGUAAUACGUAGGUCCCGAGCGUUGUCCGGAUUUAUUGGGCGUAAAGCGAGCGCAGGCGGUUAGAAAAGUCUGAAGUGAAAGGCAGUGGCUCAACCAUUGUAGGCUUUGGAAACUGUUGAACUUGAGUGCAGAAGGGGAGAGUGGAAUUCCAUGUGUAGCGGUGAAAUGCGUAGAUAUAUGGAGGAACACCGGUGGCGAAAGCGGCUCUCUGGUCUGUAACUGACGCUGAGGCUCGAAAGCGUGGGGAGCGAACAGG
rnacentral:rRNA from 2 species